UCUGAAAAACACCACAACAGUCACCAUAAUUUCUUCUCCCAGCUUACAAGGACUCAUUCCCAUUCAGAUGGUGGCAGCUCAGCCAGUACUCUAGCCCAGACAACUAACAUCAUCAUCCUAGACACAGCCAAUUGAUACUGCCUAUUGUGUGGCUGGCCAGCAACCUUUUGCUAGGAUCUGAUCCUGUUCUACCUUGUUCUAGUUUCUUUGCAUGUGGGUCCACAAGCAAAGGUCUGAUCUAAGGUAUCUUUAUGCAAUUAGAGGAUAAAAAGAGAGACACUGGCCUAAACCAAGCCUGAGGGACAGGGUCUUGAUUUAGCACUGUGAAUAGAUGCAGAAAUCUACAAAGCACCCUCAGCUGUCUGAUUGGAUGAAGAGGGAAAAAAGGCAUACCUCCAAUCUAUUUUACCCAACUGUAUCUACAACAGCAACAGGAGACUGCACAGUAUGCUCAAGACAGCAUUUGCCACUGCCUCCUUCAACCCAUAGCAAGUGUUGGCAGCAACAUGUUUCCCUGCACAAAAACACUGGUGGUCUCCUUGUGUCAUCAUCAAGUAUCCUGGCAGCCACCCCUGCCUCUUCCUGUGGAGGGUAGUGCCACAGCUAAGCACAGGAGGGUUGAUUUCCAUGUUUGCAGACUGCCCAGGAGGGAAUCCUACCAUGGGCAACAGUUCUGGGAAUCAUUCCUCUCUUCUGCCUGGCAACCACAGUGUAGACAUCUCAAGAAAAACUUCUGACUUUCAAGCUUGCUUCCAGCAGGGAAACACUGAGAUUAAUCAGACAAUAUGAACACAACAACCUAGCCUAAAAGAAAACAGGCUCGGUGCACUAAGGUGGCAAUGACCCUUCUUUUGAGUUACUUCUUCCAACACUUCCGCUGUGCCUGGCUCUCCAGGAAAGGCUAAGGCUGGCAGCAUGGCCUCCCUGUGGUGGGAGCCUUCACACACCGCAUGCUAAGCACAGUCCCGGGUAAAGGUGGAAUGAGCUGCCUGGACACCAGCCUCAAAGGCAGCCCAGAGCACAAACACACUCAUAAAGUAUAAUAAGGGAAACAAAAUCAAAGGUAGUGAUUAAUUAUUGCUGCUUUGGGAUCAGCUCUGUUCUGAUCAGCUUCUGUUAAUGAGUUCAUUAACAAUCUCACACCUUCUGCUCAGGAAAGGCAGGCAGGCAUUAUAACUAAGAGGGAUGGGAGAGAAGAAGCUUGACAUAAACCAGACCAUGAAAAGAAGUUUAACCAGUCAGUUAAAUAGUCUGGAAGGAGCACAGCAGAGCUGGGGAGAGGGACACAUAUAACAAGGCUCAAAUCUUUGAUUUAUCAUUAGCAAUUUCAAAGUCAUGGGUUAUUAGGCAAUUCUGCCAGUGCUCAAGAUGCCAAACUCCCCAGAGGGACAUGCACAGCUUCCUGAGCCCAGAGGAAGCACCAAAGCAUUAUCACCUGAUCCCAAAGCUCGGGGAAUAGCACUUCUGUGUUUGGCAAUGCUUGGGUUUGCCUGGAUGAGGAGAACUGUCCUCCUCCAGCUGUUAACCAGCUGUUCAUCACUAUGUCAUCCACUACAACUCAGCGUGAUGCACUGCCCCAGUCUGCUUCAGGGCCAAGAAAAGACCUCACUCAGGCCAGCUCUGACCACACUUAUCAGCAAGUUAAUAGCAGGGUGUGGUACAGCAGAGGUGGGGUGUUGGUCCAGUCACAUUUAAGAAUUACCAUCUCCCUCACCAGUUCCUACCAUUUGCAAAUGGCUGUUUCUGCUCCCUUAGCUGUUGGAAAUCCUUAUGUGCACACACAGGAAAAGAUGCUUCAGCAUGUGUUACCUGGCUCCUCUUUAGCCUGUUAAAUUAUUACAGUGAACCAUGGCUUCUCUGGAAAUACAUUUAAAAAUAAUGUUAAAUAAUACCUUAAUGAAUUAAUGAGAGCUUUAGUUGGCUGCCAACCCCACCACUAAAUUAUCCAUGCUACUGCACUCCAAUUCUCUCCUCCAUGCCUGCUCCUCCUGCUCAGCUGGCAGUUGCUCUCACUAGUAUGUUCUCUACCCAUACUUCCCUCAUUUCAAGAGACUUCAAGAGAGUAUAUUCUGCCCAGCUUUGUCAGUGCUUUUACUUUCUGCCGACUAAAAAUCUCCAGAUUCCACAUAAUACUUUAAAGUUUCAACUGGUUUUACUGCUCUUAAAUCAAAACCCAAGUUAGGGUCCCCUGCUGGAGAGCAAUAAUUUGCUAAUAAACCACAUGCCCCAGAACUGCACCAUCAGCUGUGCUGACCUGGGGGCACAAGGGAUAAAAAAUAACCAGGAAAAAAAAAAAAAAAAAAAAAGCAAGGAAGGAGGAAAGGAGGAACAGGAAGAACAUGAACACAAUGAAUUCAUUGCUGCAUGAAAAAUACUUUUCUUUCAGAAUCUCACUACUUUUCUUCUGGCUAGCCUGGAUUUUGUGGGGUUAUAAGGAAGGACAAGAGUGAGGAUUCACAGAUGUUACACAUUCACUGUGCCUCAGCUUCCCCACUUAUAAAUUAAGACAAUAUAAUUGCCUCCUGAAGGCAGCUCAUUAGAGUAAGAAGCCUCAGACACCAACCCAAACUAUGGGCAGAGCACUGUCUUGAUAUGUCAAUGCCAUUGUCUUGCUUGGCAUUUAGGAUCUGCUCCUGCAAGCCAGGAGUUUCUCAGCAACUCAGCCAUCCAGGUAACUCUUCACUGCAGGACAAAACAAAGACGGAAACAGAAAAUAAACGGGGGAAAACAAGAGUAAUGCCUGAGAACUACUGAUUACUCUCUGGGUUGCUGAGAAAACUCCUAGAGGGGGGCCAUAGUCUGUAAAAUUGUAGCACAAGAAAAUCUGCAGGGCUUUGCCAUAAUUCCCUGCUGCAGCUAGUUCUCCAGGAGACCAAUCCUAGAAGCAGGUGCCCACCUGAGCUUGCUGUGGAUGGAAAGCUUUCCCUCGUACUAAAUAAUACAUGAUGUUAGUUGGGGCACAUACCUGGGCACGCUGGAAGCCCGCAGGAAAACAAAGAGCCAAGCCUGCUUUGCUGAACAACCCCUGAACUUCACACUGCCUUAUCUCUUCAGUGGAAAUCUCAGCACAGUAUCUCCUAAAUUGCACAGAUGAACCCUUCCUCCUUUUAGCUCUCCUUUCCUUGAAGGGCACCCUGUGGGACAGAGUUGAAAUGCAGGAAGCAGAAAGCUCACAUGACAGCCCCUCAGGUUCGCACAGAUGGUAGCAGAGUCACAGGACUUUAUUCACAGCAACAUCUUUAAGUAGUUCCAGUUAAAAAGGGGGAGUGAAACAUGUGCUUCACAUCCAGGCCACAGAUCUGGGCACACACAGCUGCCCUUCUGAAGCUCCUCAGAAGACACUCCAGAAAGUCAAGUCCCAGUAGCUUUGGAUGCAUACAGGCAUCUAAGACCAUGUGCUUCCUUUGCUCCACAGAUAUGAGAAGGCAUUCAGCUAUUUUUGCUGAAUUCUGGCAAGACUUGCUCAUGAUCUAGAAACCCUUUUAAACCAGAGAGACCUGGAAUGUAUUUCAGUCCAAACUGACGUACAUGCUUAUUACAAAUUCCAUUUGUUGGGACCAUCUUGGGCAGGUAGCCUGAAAUGGCUCACAUAAAGGCUAACAGAAAAGUGGAAAAAGAAGCAGCUUUGCUUAUAGAAUUGAGCUGGAUCCCAUUUAAUACAUUUGCAGUGAAUUAAUGAAAGCUUUCUUUUCUGCAGAAAUGCUAAAAGUGCUUUUCAAGAACCGGCAACCACCCUCUGCUUUUAUGAAUUCCCUAAUUAAGAUACUGGCAAAGAGCCAUAUCACACAUACGCUGACAUCCAACAGCAUUAGCAUGCUUGGAAAUAUUUACCAGACAAGCUAUUCACAGCAGAGGAUGAUCCACCAGCAAAGUCUAAGAUGACUCCUAAAGAACAACCCUGCAUGUUGCUAAAGGAGGAAAGGCUGAAUCCUACCUACACCUCCUCCUUCAGCCUUGCAGGGACCAUUUCACUAGUCAGCGCAUCCUGCCUCAGUACAGACCAGUGGCUUUGCAGGCCCACACACAGAUGUGACCACAGAACAUGCGAGCCAGAUUUUCGAAAACUUCUGCAAGAACAGCUUAAGUAAGUAUAAACUGUGUCGGUCUUUUCCCUAUUCUUUAUGCUCUUCUAUACACAGUGCUCAGCCAUUGCCCUGUCAGAAGCAGCAACACAUGUAACAAUGCUUUCUAGAAACACACCUGACAUUUUGCUGCCCAUGCACUGCCUUUAAUUUAAGCACUUUUCUGCUUAUCUGAUUUGGUUUUUUUCAGUUGUUGUCUGAGCCGCAAGUAUAUUCUUAAUGGUUACAAUAUCCUUUGCAAGAAGUUUCACUGCAGGUUACGGGAAGAACCUCCUGUUUGUUCUGAGCUGGUCAGCUGCUGCUUUCGAUAGCCCUAACUUUCUAUUGACAGUGUAUAGUUAUUCUUUGUUUAAAGCUACAAAUAGCAUGCAGAGGAUAUAGAACGAUAUUGUGUCCCUUGCAGUCAUGUUUUGCAGCUUAAAAGGACUUGGAAUGCUUGGUAGGUUCUUGCAUAGAAGUUCUCCACACCUUUGGUCAUCCAUGUCACUCUCUUCAGUUAAUUACAUUUAAAGUAUUUUGUUACUAAAUGGACUGGUCUUGCCAGUUUCAUUUUCCUGAUGAGUUUUCUCAAGCAAGUCCUAUGCAGCUCAACAUUGUCAACAGGGCUGCCUGUCAAAAGACUAGAGCUAUAUGAAAGAAGUGGCAUGAAUUUAAACCACCACAACAUUACGGAGACCCAUUUAUAUCUAUUUAAAACAGAUCAUAUCAAUUACAUCUGCAAUUUGUAAGUGCAAGCAAAUCUGAUAAGUGCCCAUAUCAAAAACUGCAUUCAUUUAGCAUCAUGACUUCAGUUAAACAAGCAUGACUGCCUAGAUGAGGCCUUUCAAAGCCAGUCAUGCAUCAUGUCAUAUUAAGACUCAUUUGAAAAGUUUUCUCUACAAUCAUAACAGCUCAGAAGGUAAUACUGAACAGAAUAAUUUUAAAUUAUGAAUCAAGUAUCUUAGUUGUCAUGCAAACUGAAACACAGCCCUCUCUUCCUCUGGCGUAAAGGGAUGUUUUUUUCUUCCUCUCUAACCUCUCUUCAGGAGCGUUCUCAUCACUGCAAAUGGAAAGAAUUUAAUCUUGUAGUAGUGUCUUUGCACAGAGAUUUUCACCUGUAACGCACAAAAACUAGUAAUUCUACAAUCCUUUCAAAACUAGUAUGUUCUAUCAUGAAAACUUCUAAAAAAACCCCAAAACCUAAUCUAAAGCUACUACAAGUCCUCAAGCACUUUGCAAGAAUUUUCUGUGGCAGGUAAAAUCAGUCCCUUCUCAUUCUGUAAGCAGCAGGUCCCUAACAGGCUGAGCCAUUUUGCCACCUCUCUUUUUGUAAAGUAGGCCCUACCAUCUCAACUCUUACUGUCUGCCACCUCUCAAACUACAACCACAAAAUAACCACAAAAAAACCCCAACAAAACAAACAAACAAACAAAACAAAACAACCAAAAAAACAACCCCCAUCACUGUUCAGUUCUCUCUGGUAGGUUCAUCAUAGGAAACGUGGACAGUCAGCAUACCCCUCUGGACUCCCUUUGGUGGUUACACGUGGUUUAGACUGCCCAGAACUGUGUUUCUCUAAUGAAAACCUAACCAAUGAAACACACCAGAAAACCAUAAAUCAAACUCCCAUUCCACACAGCAGGUUGAGAGGGAAUCCCAUCAAUACAUAUAAAUAUCUAGAGCUGGGUGUGAAGAGGUUGGUGCAAAACUCUUUUCAGUGGUGCCCAGUGACAGGAUGAGUAGCAGUGCCAAACACAGAAGUUCCACCUCAAUGUGAGGAAAAACUUUUUUAUACUGGAGGUGGCAGAACACUGGAACAGGUGGGUUGUGGGGUUUCCCUCUCCAGAAAUAUUCAAAAUCUACCUCGUCAUGUUCCUGUGUGAUCUGCUCUAGGUGACCCUGCCCUGGCAAGGGGGUUGAAUGAGAUUGUAAUAAAUGGAAUUGAUUUGUGCUAACUAAAUUGUAACUGUUAUUAAAGUCAUUAUUAGAAGCAAUCAAAAGAAUCAGUGUUACAAGGCAGAUGCACCCCUUUUCAGAUGUUACAUGUUAAAAUUGAGGUACAGGAUGUAGUUUGGAAGAUAGGUGAUGUCCCAAGACAAAAACGGCCUUGAGAUGGACAAAAUUAGAACAACUUUAGGCAUCGGGCCUAAAGAUCAGUAAAUAUAUGACUAAUUAGUAGACUUACAUAACACAAUGCUUAGUACACACACGCAAACCUGUAAGGUUAUCCAAAGGACAAUGAGGAAGAGGAGAAGCCUUCUCCAAAAAACCACCAAAAGAAGACUGAAGACCCCCUAACAACAAGUGAGGCAUGCGCCAUGAAGAAAAGUAAUGUAAAGUCAGAAAAAUUUUAAAUAGGAGGAAACUUAUGGGAAACAUUUAUGAAUAUGUAUAAGCAUACAGUAUAUAAGUUUAGCUUGAAGUGCUUUGUUUUGUACAUGAGGUAGGGUGGGAAGCCUCAGUACCCUGGUCGGUGUUGCUUAUGCUUUAAUCAUACUUAAUUACUGGCAAAUUAUAUAUAUAAAUUGUAAUUUUUUUCUAAAUUGUAUUAUUUUACUAUCCUGUAUUCUUUUAUACCAAAUUACUAUUCAAUUUACUAAAUUGUAUUCAUUUUUAAUUAAACUGUUAUUAACUCAAAGGA